rnacentral:rRNA from 1 species
CGAGCAGGCGGUUUAUUAAGUCGGAUGUGAAAUCCUACGGCUCAACCGUAGAACUGCAUUCGAUACUGAUAGACUUGAGUACUGGAGAGGAAAGCGGAACUCAUGGUGUAGCGGUAAAAUGCGUAGAUAUCAUGAGGAACACCGGUGGCGAAGGCGGCUUUCUGGCCAGAUACUGACGCUGAUCCGCGAAAGCCAGGGGAGCGAACG